rnacentral:tRNA from 1 species
GGGGAAUUAGUUUAAUGGGAAAACGGCGGCUUUGCAAGCCGUAAAUGAGAGUUCGAUUCUCUCAUUCUCCA